UACAGAGGGUGCAAGCGUUAAUCGGAAUUACUGGGCGUAAAGCGUGCGUAGACGGUUGCGUAAGUCAGAUGUGAAAGCCCCGGGCUCAACCUGGGAAUUGCAUUUGAGACUGCGUAGCUAGGGUGCGGAAGAGGGAAGCGGAAUUUCCGGUGUAGCGGUGAAAUGCGUAGAUAUCGGAAGGAACACCAGUGGCGAAAGCGGCUUCCUGGUCCAGCACCGACGUCAGGCACGAAAGCGUGGGGGAGCAAACAGG
rnacentral:rRNA from 1 species